UAGUUUCCCUUGUUGUUUUAACUGUUGUUUUUCAUCAGACCACAACUCACUCCCCAAUGGUUAGCACAGUUGAAACCUCUCACUUCAACAAUACCUGCCCUGGUUACACCACAACCAUGAACCCUUCUCAAUGGGAUUGCAUGACAUGCCUCAAGGCUUCUCCAGAGUGUGGCUUUUGUGCUUCUAGAGCCAAUAAGGUAAAUGUCUCAUCAACCCUCAUGUUAGUAUCAUCAUAAGGUUUUCUGAUUCAACUUUGGAUCCUCCCUUGUGUAGGAUAAGGCCAAAAAAGAGACACAAAUUUGUCAUCUGAUAGGACUAUAUCAUGCUACUCAACAACAAAAGAUUCAUCAUAAUCUUCUUGAUUAUCAUAAUUCAUAAAACUUCUUGUUAGUACUAGACUUUAUUCAACAUGAUGUUACCAAACUAUAGUAAUUAUAGCAUCAACUUAUGAAAAUGGUCAUAGUUUUUUUGUUUGGAGUUACAAACUGUUCAUAUAUUUUUCUUGAGUCCUAAUUCCAAACACUACUUGAAUUAUUGUGCAGCUCUUACCUGGUGCAUGCUUGAUUUCCAAUGAGAGAACAGAAGAUGAGUGCCAUAAAGAGGAGAGGCUAUGGUACAGUAGGGGAUGUCCUAGUAAAUAUGGAUGGCUUGCUUUAAUUGGCCUAGGACUCUACAUAAUAUUCUUCUCACCAGGGAUGGGAACUGUUCCAUGGGUUGUGAACUCUGAGAUUUAUCCCUUAAGGUACAGAGGAAUCUGUGGAGGAAUGGCAUCUACCUCCAAUUGGGUUUCAAAUCUGAUUGUGGCCCAGUCCUUUCUGUCCUUGACACAAGCCAUUGGGACCUCAUCUACAUUCAUGAUAUUCAUAUUCAUCAGUGUUGCAGCCAUUAUCUUUGUCAUUAUUUUUGUGCCAGAAACCAAAGGACUUCCAAUUGAGGAAGUGGAGAACAUGCUGGAAAGAAGAUCUUUGAACUUUAAGUUUUG
rnacentral:lncRNA from 1 species